rnacentral:ncRNA from 1 species
AUAAAGGCGAUGAAAAGAAGAGUACAUCGACACGCUGUCUACAGAGACCUCAAGUUGCUGAGAAUGAGGGAUGAGUUUGUGGGUCGAAGCAAGUCUUGGAGCUGUGCAGAGGAUUUAUGAUCACAUUUCUCAUAAUGAUGAUGCAACGACUUCUCCCGUUAUCGAGAUAGAGUAUCGCGGACGAUUCUUCGCCCUGCCGUACUUGAUAAGACUCCUUUAGCAAUAGAGGAGUGAAUUGAGGUGGCACCGCGAUGACCGCUCGCCCUCAAA